rnacentral:misc_RNA from 1 species
AGCAGCCGCGGUAAUUCCAGCUCCAAUAGCGUAUAUUAAAGUUGUUGUGGUUAAAAAGCUCGUAGUUGAACCUUGGGCCUGGCUGGCCGGUCCGCCUCACCGCGUGUACUGGUCCGGCCGGGCCUUUCCCUCUGUGGAACCCCAUGCCCUUCACUGGGUGUGGCGGGGAAACAGGACUUUUACUUUGAAAAAAUUUAGAGUGCUCCAGGCAGGCCUAUGCUCGAAUACAUUAGCAUGGAAUAAUAGAAUAGGACGUGUGGUUCUAUUUUGUUGGUUUCUAGGACCGCCGUAAUGAUUAAUAGGGACAGUCGGGGGGUCAUCAGUAUUCAAUUGUCAGAGGUGAAAUUCUUGGAUUUAUUGAAGACUAACUACUGCGAAAGCAUUUGCCAAGGAUGUUUUCAUUAAUCAGGAACGAAAGUUAGGGGAUCGAAGACGAUCAGAUACCGUCGUAGUCUUAACCAUAAACUAUGCCGACUAGGGAUCGGACGAUGUUAUUUAUUGACUCG